rnacentral:rRNA from 1 species
CCUACGGGUGGCAGCAGUGGGGAAUAUUGCACAAUGGGGGAAACCCUGAUGCAGCAACGCCGCGUGAGUGAUGACGGCCUUCGGGUUGUAAAGAUCUGUCAGUGGGGACGAAACUUGACGGUACCCACAGAGGAAGCACCGGCUAACUCCGUGCCAGCAGCCGCGGUAAUACGGGGGGUGCAAGCGUUGUCCGGAAUCAUUGGGCGUAAAGAGUUCGUAGGCGGCACGUAAAGUCUGGUGUUAAAGGCAGAGGCUCAACUUCUGUACGGCACUGGAUACUUGCGAGCUAGAGUGCGGUAGAGGUAAAGGGAAUUCCUGGUGUAGCGGUGAAAUGCUUAGAUAUCAGGAGGAACAUCGGUGGCGUAAGCGCUUUACUGGGCCGUAAUUGACGCUGAGGAACGAAAGCCAGGGUAGCAAAUGGGAUUAGAUACCCUGGUAGUC